ACACCUCUCGUAUCGAUCCCCUCGAGGAGAAGCCGUCGCCCCCAUCUCCCGUUCCGCCGCCGCCGCCCCCCACCUUGCCCUAUCUCCCUCUCAGCCACCUCCACCACCCCCACGCUUCUCCUCACCACAACAGAUCCCUUCGCCGUCGCCCUCGCACUCGCACCAAGCCGCCGCCGAUCCCUGCGUCCCAGUGGAUCCGUUCGCCGCUGCCGAUCCUUCGCUGCCGCCGAUCUCGUCGCUACAUCGACGGCAACCAGGGGUCGUCCUCCGCCCGGCCGCAGUGGAGAUCAAGCAGGAGUCCUCCAAGGACGACUCCCGCGGGAUCAUCCUGAUCCUGUUCGAGAAGUUCGGCUUCUCCCACCGCGGGUCCGUCUCCAUCGCGCUCACCGGCGCCAGGGCUGCCUCCAAGCUCGCCAAGCCGGACUCUUCGCAGCUCGGCUUCUUCCUUUGGUGAUAUAGAAGAUGAAAUUAUUAUUUACAAAAGAAAUUGUUUGAGGUCAAGAGUUGAUGCCAAAUGUCCUGGAUCAGGACAACUCCUGGGAAACAAGGCGAACGGUAUGUGCGUGCAAGAUUGAAAAUUGUACUAGAUAUGUGUAGUUUGCUCCAGGAUCCUAUAUCAGUGUAUUUGCUUCGUGCAGUUCCCUAUGUCAUCCAUUAUAUUUAUAUAGGGAUAAAUUUCCACGGGUUGCUGUAAGCAAAACUCCCUAUGUACCGGCACUUGUCUCUUUACAGACUGUCCGGGCUUUCUAGAUUAGAAUAUAAUUGUUUUAGAUAAUUUGAAAUAAGUUUUUACGCCAGCUUGCACCUUUAUUAUUUGCAGCCGGGAAGUCUAUUUCUUUUCUUUUUUUUGAUUCAAAACUAUUGGCAUGAAUUGGCCCUUGCAUUUGGUCUGAGCACUGACAAUAAUUCCAACCUGUCAAUUGGGGACAGAUAUGUCCAUCACACCUGUACCUUUUAUUCAGUUUGAGGAGGAAUAAGUAGUCAAUUGGCUGAUUAAUUAUGUUUCAUGUGAUUUGUAUAUGGACGCAGUUGCAACAGUUAGCUGCAUCAACUAUAAUUUUUCUUUCGCUGGCGGGGCAUGCAUCCCGACGAGUUAUACAAUUUAGCUGAUUUAAUUCGUGGCCUAACAAUACUUUUGGUAAUAGUUGUCAACUAAAAAAGGAUCUGCUUUUUCGUAAUGAUGGCCAAAUAAAAGAGGAUCCAAACCCUCACGAGUUUACAUUGUACAAAGCUAUUAUGUGCUGACAAUAUUUUUUCUAAGUUGCUCUCUACAUCUCGGUGUUAUUAGUCUAAAUAUUCUGAUUCCAAAGGAUGUUUUCAAACAUCAGAUCUUUUAAUAAAUUUGAAACAACAUAUCUUUCUAAUUUUGGUUCUGUCUAAAAUGAUGAAAUUCAAUUUUGUUCUACUGCAUAUUAGUUUAAUCAUCUUCACCAGCAGUAUAUAUUGCAGAUAAUUGUGUUGGUUUGGUUUUUAGCAUGUAGGUAUGAUAUGGUAAGCCUCCAGUGAAGGAGGGGCUUAGAAAAAGAGAAACUGUUCUAUUUGAUAUACAAUGUAAUUUGGAAAUUAAUGGCAGAAGGCUCCUAAACUAACAUAUGAUGUUUUGUUUGAAUUUCUCUUUACCGGAUUGUGUUACUUAUGCGCAAUCACCAUACUUGACAAGGGUCCCUGAUUUUAUCACUUCCGUUGACGAGUCUUGUGUCAGCAUCUUGAUGCGAGGUAGGUUCUGGAAGAUGUCAUGAAGAAUUUCUUUCAGAGAAUUUGCGUGAGGUGUGUCUAAAUGAUUUUUAUCUUCUGAACAUAUUCUUGUAUGACUAACUGAAUUCAUUUUUUCAAAACCGUGACUAGCUGAUCUGUAGCGGCGCGGAAGGUGAGCUUGGCUGCAGGUAGCAGCUCCUUUGGCUGAUCUGCGGCGAUGCAGAAGUUGGGUUGGAAAGAAGCACGACCGGCUGCUCUGAAGUGGGACGUAGGGAGAGCUUCGUAAGAGAUAGGGAGGGAGCUCUAUUGGCCCGUGCAUGACAUCCAACCCAAUGGCAUCAUGCCCUGGUAGGCAUGGUUGUGUGGCCACGGGGAAAAUGGAGCAAGUAGCAUGUGAGGAGUUUAACAAAUGGGGACAAGGGACAGUUUAGUUAAUUAAGGCUCUAUGUUAGUUUCAAGUUUUAUCCUUGUUGCGGUAAGAAAUUAUGGUUGGAUUAACCACCAUGUGUUGGAAAUAUGCCCUAGAGGCAAUAAUAAAAGUAUUAUAAUUAUAUUUCCUUGUUCA